AGCCGCGGUAAUACGAAGGGACCUAGCGUAAUUCGGAAUUACUGGGCGUAAAGCGCGCGUAGGCGGUUAAGUAAGUUAAUUGUGAAAGCCCAAAGCUCAACUUUGGAAUUGCAAUUAAAACUACUUAGCUAGAGUUUAUCAGAGGAAAGCGGAAUACAUAGUGUAGAGGUGAAAUUCGUAGAUAUUAUGUAGAACACCAGUUGCGAAGGCGGCUUUCUGGGAUAAUACUGACGCUGAGGUGCGAAAGUAUGGGUAGCGAAGAGGAUUAGAUACCCUCGUAGUCCAUACUGUAAACGAUGAUUGUUAGAUGUUGGAAAUUUAUUUUCAGUAUCACAGCUAACGCGUUAAACAAUCCGCCUGGGGAGUACGACCGCAAGGUUAAAACUCAAAUGAAUUGACGGGGACCCGCACAAGCGGUGGAGCAUGUGGUUUAAUUCGAAGCUACGCGCAGAACCUUACCAACACUUGACAUGUCUGUCGCGGAUUCCAGAGAUGGAAUCUUUCGGUUCGGCCGGACAGAACACAGGUGCUGCAUGGCUGUCGUCAGCUCGUGUCGUGAGAUGUUGGGUUAAGUCCCGCAACGAGCGCAACCCCUACUUCUAGUUGCCAUCAGGUUAAGCUGGGCACUCUAGUAGGACUGCCUGUGAUAAGCAGGAGGAAGGUUGGGAUGACGUCAAGUCCUCAUGGCCCUUACGUGUUGGGCUACACACGUGCUACAAUGGUAGUGACAAUGAGAUGCUAAACGGCAACGUUAAGCUAAACUCAAAAACCUGCCUCAGUUCGGAUUGCACUCUGCAACUCGAGUGCAUGAAGCUGGAAUCGCUAGUAAUCGCUCAUCAGCGCGGAGCGGUGAAUACGUUCCCGGGUCUUGUACACACCGCCCGUCACACCAUGGAAGUUGGUUUUACCUUAAGGCAUGUCACUAACCUUCGGGAAGUGCGUGACCACGGUAUGAUCGGCGACUGGGGUGAAGUCGUAACAAGGUAGCCGUAGGGGAACCUGCGG
rnacentral:rRNA from 1 species